UACGUAGGGUGCGAGCGUUGUCCGGAUUUAUUGGGCGUAAAGAGCUCGUAGGCGGCUUGUCGCGUCGGAUGUGAAAGCCCGGGGCUUAACUCCGGGUCUGCAUUCGAUACGGGCAGGCUAGAGUGUGGUAGGGGAGAUCGGAAUUCCUGGUGUAGCGGUGAAAUGCGCAGAUAUCGGAAGGAACACCAGUGGCGAAAGCGGCUUCCUGGUCCAGCACCGACGUUCAGGCACGAAAGCGUGGGGAGCAAACAGG
rnacentral:rRNA from 1 species